rnacentral:rRNA from 1 species
AGUGGCAGACGGGUGAGUAAUGUAUAGGAAUCUACCUAGUAGUACGGAAUAAUUGUUGGAAACGGCAACUAAUACCGUAUACGCCCUACGGGGGAAAAAUUUAUUGCUAUUAGAUGAGCCUAUAUUAGAUUAGUUAGUUGGUGAGGUAAAGGCUUACCAAGACAAUGAUCUAUAGCUGAUCUGAGAGGAUGAUCAGCCACACUGGAACUGAGAUACGGUCCAGACUCCUACGGGAGGCAGCAGUGGGGAAUAUCGGACAAUGGGCGAAAGCCUGAUCCAGCCAUGCCGCAUGAGUGAAGAAGGCCUUCGGGUUGUAAAGCUCUUUUAGUGAGGAAGAUAAUGACGGUACUCACAGAAGAAGUCCUGGCUAACUCCGUGCCAGCAGCCGCGGUAAUACGGAGAGGGCUAGCGUUAUUCGGAAUCAUUGGGCGUAAAGGGCGCGUAGGCGGGUUAGUAAGUUAAAAGUGAAAUCCCAAGGCUCAACCUUGGAACUGCUUUUAAAACUGCUAGUCUAGAGAUUGAAAGAGGAUAGAGGAAUUCCUAGUGUAGAGAUGAAAUUCGUAAAUAUUAGGAGGAACACCAGUGGCGAAGGCGUCUAUCUGGUUCAAAUCUGACGCUGAGGCGCGAAGGCGUGGGGAGCAAACAGGAUUAGAUACCCUGGUAGUCCACGCUGUAAACGAUGAAUGUUAAAUAUGGGAAGUUUACUUUCUGUAUUAUAGCUAACGCGUUAAACAUUCCGCCNGGGGACUACNGUCGCAAGAUUAAAACUCAAANGAAUUGACGGGGACCCGCACAAGCGGUGGAGCAUGUGGUUUAAUUCGAUGCNNCGC